rnacentral:rRNA from 1 species
CAGUAGCCACGGGAAUACGGAGGGUGCAAGCGUUAAUCGGAAUUACUGGGCGUAAAGCGCACGCAGGCGGUCUGUCAAGUCGGAUGUGAAAUCCCCGGGCUCAACCUGGGAACUGCAUUCGAAACUGGCAGGCUAGAGUCUUGUAGAGGGGGGUAGAAUUCCAGGUGUAGCGGUGAAAUGCGUAGAGAUCUGGAGGAAUACCGGUGGCGAAGGCGGCCCCCUGGACAAAGACUGACGCUCAGGUGCGAAAGCGUGGGGAGCAAACAGGAUUAGAUACCCGAGUAGUCCCUGUCUCUUAUAC